rnacentral:rRNA from 1 species
AGCGGCGGAUGGGUGAGUAACACGUGGGGAACCUGCCCCUAAGUCCGGGAUACCAUUUGGAAACAGGUGCUAAUACCGGAUAAUAAAGCAGAUCGCAUGAUCAGCUUUUGAAAGGCGGCGUAAGCUGUCGCUAAGGGAUGGCCCCGCGGUGCAUUAGCUAGUUGGUAAGGUAACGGCUUACCAAGGCGACGAUGCAUAGCCGAGUUGAGAGACUGAUCGGCCACAUUGGGACUGAGACACGGCCCAAACUCCUACGGGAGGCAGCAGUAGGGAAUCUUCCACAAUGGACGCAAGCCUGAUGGAGCAACGCCGCGUGAGUGAAGAAGGUUUUCGGAUCGUAAAGCUCUGUUGUUGGUGAAGAAGGAUAGAGGUAGUAACUGGCCUUUAUUUGACGGUAAUCAACCAGAAAGUCACGGCCAACUACGUGCCAGCAGCCGUGGUAAUACGUAGGUGGCAAGCGUUGUCCGGAUUUAUUGGGCGUAAAGCGAGCGCAGGCGGAAAAAUAAGUCUAAUGUGAAAGCCCUCGGCUUAACCGAGGAACUGCAUCGGAAACUGUUUUUCUUGAGUGCAGAAGAGGAGAGUGGAACUCCAUGUGUAGCGGUGGAAUGCGUAGAUAUAUGGAAGAACACCAGUGGCGAAGGCGGCUCUCUGGUCUGCAACUGCCGCUGAGGCUCGAAUGCAUGGGUAGCGAACAGGAUUAGAUACCCUGGUAGUCCAUGCCGUAAACGAUGAGUGCUAAGUGU